rnacentral:rRNA from 1 species
CCUACGGGAGGCAGCAGUGAGGAAUAUUGGUCAAUGGGCUUACGCCUGAACCAGCCAAGUCGCGUGAGGGAUGACUGCCCUAUGGGUUGUAAACCUCUUUUGUCAGGGAGCAACUCCGGCUACGUGUAGCCGUACUGAGAGUACCUGAAGAAAAAGCAUCGGCUAACUCCGUGCCAGCAGCCGCGGUAAUACGGAGGAUGCGAGCGUUAUCCGGAUUUAUUGGGUUUUAAGGGUGCGUAGGCGGAAUGCCAAGUCAGCGGUAAAAUCGCGGGGCUCAACCUCGCUCUGCCGUUGAAACUGGCGUUCUUGAGUGGGCGAGAAGUAUGCGGAAUGCGUGGUGUAGCGGUGAAAUGCAUAGAUAUCACGCAGAACUCCGAUUGCGAAGGCAGCAUACCGGCGCCCAACUGACGCUGAAGCACGAAAGCGUGGGUAUCGAACAGGAGUAGAUACCCCGGUAGUC